AGAGUUUGAUCCUGGCUCAGGACGAACGCUGGCGGCGUGCUUAACACAUGCAAGUCGAACGAGAAUUCUUCAAAUAGAAGCUUCGGUGGAAACGAGAAGAAGGAAAGUGGCGAACGGGUGAGUAACGCGUGAGCAACCUACCUUAUACAAAGGGAUAGCCUCGGGAAACCAGGAUUAAUACCAUAUGAGACCCCACUAACGAGUGUUAGAGAGGUUAAAGAAUUUCGGUAUAAGAUGGGCUCGCGUCUGAUUAGCUAGUUGGUGGGGUAAAGGCCUACCAAGGCGACGAUCAGUAACCGGCUUGAGAGAGUGAACGGUCACAUUGGAACUGAGACACGGUCCAAACUCCUACGGGAGGCAGCAGUGGGGAAUAUUGCACAAUGGGGGAAACCCUGAUGCAGCGACGCCGCGUGAGCGAUGAAGGUUUUCGAAUCGUAAAGCUCUGUCCUUGGAGAAGAUAAUGACGGUAUCCAAGGAGGAAGCACCGGCUAAAUACGUGCCAGCAGCCGCGGUAAUACGUAUGGUGGGAGCGUUGUCCGGAAUU
rnacentral:rRNA from 1 species